rnacentral:rRNA from 1 species
GUCCACGCUGUAAACGAUGAAUACUAGGUGUCGGGUGGCAAAGCCAUUCGGUGCCGCAGCUAACGCAAUAAGUAUUCCACCUGGGGAGUACGUUCGCAAGAAUGAAACUCAAAGGAAUUGACGGGGACCCGCACAAGCGGUGGAGCAUGUGGUUUAAUUCGACGCAACGCGAAGAACCUUACCAAGUCUUGACAUCCUUUUGACCGGUCGGUAAUGCGACCUUCUCUUCGGAGCAAAAGUGACAGGUGGUGCAUGGUUGUCGU